rnacentral:rRNA from 1 species
UUGAUUUCUUCGGAAUGAAGUUUUUGUGACUGAGUGGCGGACGGGUGAGUAACGCGUGGGUAACCUGCCUCAUACAGGGGGAUAACAGUUGGAAACGACUGCUAAUACCGCAUAAGCGCACGGUUCCGCAUGGAACAGUGUGAAAAAACUCCGGUGGUGUGAGAUGGACCCGCGUCUGAUUAGCCAGUUGGCGGGGUAACGGCCCACCAAAGCGACGAUCAGUAGCCGGCCUGAGAGGAUGAACGGCCACACUGGAACUGAGACACGGUCCAGACUCC